UUGAAGAAUUACAGGUGGUGGAA
rnacentral:miRNA from 1 species